rnacentral:rRNA from 1 species
GAUGAACGCUGGCGGCGUGCUUAAUACAUGCAAGUAGAACGGUGAAGGCCGAGCUUGCUCUUCUGCUUGAGUUGCGAACGGGUGAGUAACGCGUAGGUAACCUGCCUGGUAGCGGGGGAUAACUUCUGGAAACUAUAGCUAAUACCGCAUGACAACAGCUAUUGCAUGAUAACUGUUUAAAAGUGGCAACUGCUCCACUACCAGAUGGACCUGCGGUGUUUUAGCUAGUUGGUGUGGUAGAGGCGCACCAUGGCGAGGAUCCAUAGCCGACCUGAGAGGGUGAGCAGCCACACUGGGAGGGAGACACGGCCCAGAGGGCUACGGGAGGCAGCAGUAGGGCAACGGCGGCAAGGGGCGGAAGACAGAGCGAGCAACGCCGCAUGAGGGAAGAAGGUCUCCGGGUCGUAAAGCGCUGUUGUAAGGGAGGAAAGAGUGUGAGAGUGGAAAGAUCAGACUGUGACGGUAUCGUACCAAAAAGGAACGGCUAACUACGUG